AUCAAACUGACGAGUCUUAAAUAGGACGAAACGCAUGUCCUGAAU
rnacentral:hammerhead_ribozyme from 1 species